AUACCGGUGGUGCAACGGUUAGCAUACUCUCUCGGAAAGAGUGAGAUCAGGGUUCGAAUCCCGGCUAGCGCA